AUACCUAAUAUCUUUGCUUUUUAAUUUCACAAACUCUAGUUCCUACGAAUCACGAUUUUAUCAUAAGCUUUUCACGCAUUUUUUGCCAUUUCUCUAUAUUAUUUUAAUAUUUUCAACAUUGCAAAAUUACGUCACGCAACUAUACAUUUUCAUUGUUGUUUUUAAUUAAUAUUUGGAUGGUUCAUGAUCACGAAACAUCAUUUCGAGGAGAAGGUGAUAAUUUAGUCAACGCAUUUUGGUUACUAAUAUAUGCUUCAUACGUUUCAAUAAAUAUCACUAUGGAAUUUAACCCCAAAAGCAAGGUUUUGAAAACCGGACCGGAUCGGCCGGUCGGACCGGUUCGACCGGUCGGACCGGUUCGACCGGUCGGACCGGUUCGACCGAGACUCGUUAAGUAAAAUGAACGUCUCUUACAUAGGGGUUAAAAAAACCGUAUCUUAUUGGACACUUGUUUUAGUUGUAUUGGGGAGGAGAGCUUUAGAUAGAAAAAAAAAAACGAUCACCCAGUUUCGAGUUCUUUCGGUGCUCUCUCUCUCUCUCUCUCUCUCUCUCUCUCUUUCCUCCUGAAAAUCGCAUGCAUCUGAGUCGAAUCAAGCAUCUUUUUUUGUGAAUCGAAAGGUAAAAGUUUGUUGUAUUGUGAUUGUAUUGGGAUUUUGAGACGAUGUUGGUUGAUAAGAACCCUAGUUUUGUCUCCCUUCUUCUUCUUCCUUGUCUGUAACCAUCUUUUGGAGAAUUUUAAGAGGCGAAGAUGGUUGGCAAAGGAGAAGAUGCAUCUAAAGUAAUCCACGUGAAGUUCGUGAUGAAGUUUUACCCUCCGUUCAAAGCUCUGGUAACCUCCGUCGUUAUCCCUUCCAACUUCACUCGUCUCAGUCUCUCUUCCAUCGUAAACUCUCUCCUCACUCUCGAUCGAUACCGUGGGAAAUUUUAGUUGUUGAGAAAAAUGCAUACGAGGUAUAUGGAGAGGACUAAUAGUAUGAGAGAAAAGAGACAACUUGAGGAAGAUGAUAAUAACAAUCAGCAGCCUGAGCGUAAAAGGCCCGCUCUUGCAAGUGUAAUUGUGGAAGCCCUGAAGACAAGACCAAUAAAUCACUCGUAAUCGUGCAGCCUAAUAAUAGCCGCACAAGACCAAGACCCAUGGAGUUUAGCUAAAGAUGUAUUGCCACGAGAAGAUGAACAUGUCUACGAGGUUCAUCGUUCUGAUCACCAUGUCACCAGAUUCAAUAUGAAUCUGCGAACCAAACCGGAAGAUUUGCAUCCAUGUGAACGACGAAAGACAGUUGCUUCCUUACACUGCGUUCUAGGCUAUCCGUUUUUUGUAUAUUUUUUAUAAUAUCAUAUUUAUUAGAUAAUUUAUUUGUCAGUUCUGAUAGCAUUAUAAUUUUUGGUUAAAAUAAUCUGAUUAGUAAAUAUCGAUCAACUUUGGUUUUAAUUUUGAACUUCGAAAGAAAUUAAACAUUCUAAAAUUUUGAUUUUUUUUUGUCUCUUUUUCAUUCAAGGUAUUUCCAAAAUGUAUAGAAGUUUUGUUUGCAAUGUAUUGUUUAUGUUUUUUUCUGCUAUGAAUUUUUGUCUCAUAUAUUCUUAUGGUAAAUUAUGUUUGGUAGAAAUAUAUUGUAACAUAGACGUUAUAUUCUACUUAAUUUAAAUAGAAGUAAAAUUCUUAUAAGUUAAUCAAAAUAUCAAUGUUAAGUUGAUAAGAUCUUAACAUGAAGUUGCCGAAGCUAAAUUCGUCCAAAUGAUUAGGUUCUUUCCUGAAGCUUUGGAACUUAGAUAAGGUGGGGAUACUUAGUGAGGAAGUGCUGCAUUAGGGGUGGGCGUUCGGAUAUCCGUUCGGAUUCGGGUCGGGUAUUUCGGAUGUUCGGAUAUUUCGGUAUAGAAGCAUAAAACUCGUUCGGGUAUUUCUGCACGACGGGUAGGGUUCGGGUAUUUCAGAUAUAACCGAAAAAACCAAAGCAUUUGAUAAAAAAAAAUUGAAUUACUGAUAGAAAAAAAUUAAAAUUACAUAAUUCUUGCAAAAAAAAAACUAUUCGUUCUUUUGCUUUCGUUACGUAACAAGAUCGAGAGUAACAAGUGAAGCUCCAUGGAUGGAAACUACCCCUCCGUAUGAAGAACGACAAGAUGGUUUGAGAUGGCUCCGGUUGUUACAUUAAUGUUUAUGGUGGUUACCGUUGAUGACAGCAACAACUAAUGUCUCUGAGAAACCUUACAUGGAUCAUGAGAAGAACAAUAUUUUAGGAAAGAAGAUCUUGCAGGGAGAGAAGAUGAGAGAUGCGAAAUGCAUAUGGUGUCUUCAUCUCUCACGUUUAAGAAGGAGAUACAUAUAUAUAUUGCACAUGUUUAAGUUAAGAAAAAUAGUGAUUUGGUAUUGAUUUUAUAUAAUAUUAAUUAAACCAAAAUCUGUUUAGAGAAACCAAUCAUGAAAGAUGUAGAUUUGGAUUAAAGUAUACAUAUGUUCAGAUGACUUCGGGUAUUACUUCAGGUUUCGUAUAUACCCGAUCGGGUUUGGGUAUCCAAACUUGUUCAAUACAAAACCCGUUCGGGUAUUUUGCUACUUCGGUUCGGAUUCGGGUUUUUCGGGUCGAGUUCGUAUUCGAGUUUGGGUAUCGGAUAAAAUGCCCAGUCCUAUGCUGCAUGGGAUCGUGAUGAGAAGCUCACAUUUUAAACCGUAAACAAAUUAUACCCUGAUUAAACAAUAAUCAGAAGCCCUUGCCUAUAAAACUAACCCAAAAAUUGGUAACCAUCAAUAGCGGGGUAGCGAUAGACAAUGAUCAAGAAAUGACUUGGUUGUGUCGGUGGGUUAUGACUGCCGGGUUGGGUUUUUUUAAUUGGUUAAUAAA